GGGGAAUAUUGCACAAUGGGCGAAAGCCUGAUGCAGCAACGCCGCGUGAGUGAUGAAGGCCUUCGGGUUGUAAAGCUCUGUCUUCUGGGACGAUAAUGACGGUACCAGAGGAGGAAGCCACGGCUAACUACGUGCCAGCAGCCGCGGUAAUACGUAGGUGGCAAGCGUUGUCCGGAUUUACUGGGCGUAAAGGAUGCGUAGGCGGAUACUUAAGUCAGAUGUGAAAAUCCCGGGCUUAACUUGGGAACUGCAUUUGAAACUGGGUAUCUAGAGUGCGGGAGAGGAAAGUGGAAUUCCUAGUGUAGCGGUGAAAUGCGUAGAGAUUAGGAAGAACACCAGUGGCGAAGGCGACUUUCUGGACCGUAACUGACGCUGAGGCAUGAAAGCGUGGGGAGCAAAC
rnacentral:rRNA from 1 species